AUGGCUCAGGAUGAACGCUGGCGGCGUGCCUAACACAUGCAAGUCGAACGAGCGAGAGAUGAAACCUAGUGAUUCUCGAGCGAGUGGCGGACGGGUGAGUAACGCGUGGGUAACCUGCCUUACAGAGGGGGAUAACAGUCUGAAAAGACUGCUAAUACCGCAUAAGCACACAGUACCGCAUGGUACAGGGUGAAAAGAUUUAUCACUGUAAGAUGGACCCGCGUCUGAUUAGCCAGUUGGCAGGGUAACGGCUACCAAAGCGACGAUCAGUAGCCGACCUGAGAGGGUGAUCGGCCACAUUGGGACUGAGACACGGCCCAAACUCCUACGGGAGGCAGCAGUGGGGGAUAUUGCACAAUGGAGGAAACUCUGAUGCAGCCGACGCCGCGUGAGUGAAGAAGUAUUUCGGUAUGUAAAGCUCUAUCAGCAGGGAAGAUAAUGACAGUACCUGACCAAGAAGCCCCGGCUAACUACGUGCCAGCCGCCGC
rnacentral:rRNA from 1 species